CAGAGUGUAAAAACUCCUAAACCCUUUGUGAAUCUACCUAUUCUUGUUCCUUCGGUAGGCGGUCCCUGGGAGGGACCUAUAGCCCAUGUGGUGCCUGCCGAAGAACGCCCCAAACUCUGUUACUGUGGUGUUAUUCUGAGUGAAUACAAAAUAAGAUAA
rnacentral:misc_RNA from 2 species